rnacentral:rRNA from 1 species
UACGAAGGGGGCUAGCGUUGCUCGGAAUCACUGGGCGUAAAGCGUGCGCAGGCGGUUCGCAAAGUCUGAUGUGAAAGCCCCGGGCUCAACCUGGGAACUGCAUUGGAAACUAACGGGCUCGAGUGUGGCAGAGGGGGGUGGAAUUCCACGUGUAGCAGUGAAAUGCGUAGAGAUGUGGAGGAACACCGAUGGCGAAGGCAGCCCCCUGGGCUAACACUGACGCUCAUGCACGAAAGCGUGGGGAGCAAACAGG